GACUGGUCAGACCAUAGAUAAUGUGGAAGACAGCGCGCUAGCGGAGCUAGUCUAUGUAUAUCGAUGGUCAGCACGUCUGGUAGCAUCUCUGGCUGCUGUUGACCUUGUUUUUGGAGUAAAACACGGUGGAAGCUGAAUUAGUGAGGAUGACUCCUGCUCCUGUCAUCUCUAAGCUCCUCCCACAUCUUUACCUGCACAUGAGGAAAAUCACUCCUGUAGAAUGCAGAUGUUCAGAGGGAGAUGAUGCCACAUCUGGUCCAGCUGAUGGAAGGUCUUGAAGUUCUCUGACUGGCCUCGACUGAAGAUGGUCGUCUCACUGGAUUUAAGGUUCAGAUGCUCAGUAACAAACUCCACCAAUGUGCCAACAGGGAAGCUUUAGGUUUAUUAAAUGUUGCUAUGAAGGUAUCGCUGUUUUUCUUUGUGAAUGCAAUGUGCUCCAACUGAAACUUGAAUUAGAACUUAGAAGUAAAUCCUUCCAUCUGUAAGGAUUUAGUUGCAUUAAUAACCUCAUAACAUUCUAAUUUUUAUUCCAGUGUUGGCUGGAAAUAGAAUCUCUGUAUUGAUUCAGGUAAAAACUGAACUUCACAGCAUGUUGAAGCAAAACAACCAGAUGAAAACUGUGAUGGUGUUGGAUUGUCAGACCGUAAUGUUGCAGCUCAAAGCAGCUUUUCUAUCUCAGUUCAUUGUGACAUUCAGCUAUGAAUCAACACAGCAGAUGGUGAUCCAUGCUGUGGAAGUCUCACGUCUCCUGAUUUAAUGGAGCUGCUUUGCACUUUUUACACUGUUUAUUCACCAACACUUUAUUUAAUAAAAGUCCAUCUAGUUUUCAUGAGGAAUGUGAUGUUUUGAUUUCUCUGUGAAUAACUGCAGUCUAAUGGAACAGCUGGAAUUGUAACAUCUGUCCUGAUAUUGAUCAUGAAGUAUUGAUCAGAAUGAUCAGAUGAGUUUGUUUUUACUGCCAGCUACCAUUCAGUCUGAGAUAUUAAGAAUAAUUUAAUGUGCAUAAUGUGGAAAUGAACAGAUUUUAUUUUUAUUUAUUCCUACAGCUGCUGCAGGUUCCAAAGUUCCAAAUUUAGUCUCACAAUCACAGACAACAAAUAUUAUCUGAAAGUCGGGUUAUUGUUGUUUAUCAGCACAAUACAAAAAGAUUAAUGUUAGAAAUAUUCCAGUUAAGACUCUAGAAUAUCAUGAUUUAUGUAAAUUUAACUCACUAAUAUGAAUGUUCAGGUUAACAUAGUGCAGUGAUUUUUAUUAUGCAAGUUUAGCUGAUUAAAGUUUGACUCUGCACUACAAUAUUAUUUAAAUUUACACCAUUAUUAUAAUAUUUAGGGUCAGACCCUACAGUAUUGAGAUUAAGAAAUCAAAUAUUCUAUAAAAUGUAAAUACACUGAACUCAUUUGGAUUUAUUUAAGUGAGACUCUACAAUAUUAUUUGACACAAAUCUAUCUAAAUCAAAAUUUUAAUAAUUUUCAUGCCAAACAUUUACUGGACUGAUUUAAAUAUUAAAAUCACUCCUUUCUAAUCCUCUGCUGUACGUUCAAACCUGAGGCUUAAAUAGAAACACACAAGUAUCUGAUUGAAGGAACUUCUGCAGAGUCCUGGUUCCAGAACAUGAUGAUAGAACUAUAGACAAACUUUAACAAAAGCUGCCUGAGAGUUUACAGGUUUUUAUGUUGGAUUUCUUCAGUAAUUUAAUGAGCGUUAUCAGCAAAAAUCAAGUGUUCAUUUGAUGAACUUCAUUUCCUAAAACAUCCAGAAUUGGAGCUCAUAUCUUUGGCAGCUGUAAAGUUUCUGCUCCUUCAAAGUUCACAACACAAUGAAUGAAUUCCUAAAACACUCUCAAUGCUGGAGAGCGUUUGAUGCUGAAGCAGUGAUCAGUUUUUCUGUUUCUUCUCUAGAGAUGCACAAUGAGGGACGUCUGCAGCGACUGAGAAAGAGUCUCACCACAUCCUGACAUGAGGAAAAAGACUUUUUUGAAGACUACAAUGAGAAAAACUAUCAGACAGCAGACGGCUGCAUUCAAGGUGAGCUCUGAACAUUUAAUCUGGAACAGGAAUUCAAUAACGGCAGCAUGAGCUUCAUUUCAGUCUGUAGCUGCUGAAUUCAUGGAUGAAUCAUCUGGCACUAGAGAGGAAGACCAUCAAACAUCCACAUCAGCUGAUGGAGGUCCAAGAGUCUCACCAAACAAACAACCUACAGAGUGAAGACCUCAAAUCUGAUUGGACGGCCUCCUAUUCAGCCACAUGUGUGAACAAAUGCCUCUAAGCUGAUUUGUUUUCUAAAAUAAAUCUAGUUUGAGUCCUAAUCUAUGCCUGUGUGUUUGCUUCUUUAUGCUGCUGUUAACAGUUUAGGCUGUUAGAUUGUUCCAGAUAAGACAAGUACAAGAUUCUUCAGAGCCGUUCUACCACGAGCCUGACAGGAAGAACUCCAACAGCUACUGAAUGUUCCUGUGGUCCCCUCAAGGCUACAGGAGGAGUCCUACGAGGACGAGCCGGUCCACCUGAUGGUGGCCAGUUGCUGCGGUUCAAAGCCAACACCGACUACGUGGACUUCUACUGGACCACACGGAGGCCUUCAAACCGGACCAACAAGUUCACCGACUCCCCGACUCGUGGGUCUGAGGACGCCGCCGAGCCUCGGUCCAGCCGGCCUCCUGUCUGUGGGUGUUUGAGUGCUGAGAGGUUUGUGGAUGCAUGUGAACGUGUCUGUGUUGAAACAGCAGCUUUUGACUCACUAACGCCGGGAAAACCCAAGAAUUCCUUUAUUUGUGACUUCCACUAAAAAAACUGAUGAAAAUAAGUUUGCCAGAGUUCUGACUGAUAACAGAUUAUUAAAUAAUGAUAAUAAUCGUUUAAAUAUUCCUUUAAACAAUCCUUUUAGGUCUACAUUUCCUUUACACUGACUUCUUGGUACAUGUACAAGUAUUUUGGGUGGAAUAUACCAAUAAGCCUAAUGUUCAAGGGUUUUUCUGGGAAUAUACCAUUAAACCAACCUUUUAGGUAAAUGUUCCAGGAUGUUGGGUAGAAUAUACCAUCAGAUAAACCUUUUAGGUCUACAUUGGAAAAUUUUAGAGUAGAAUAUUACUCCAAACUAUCCUUUAGGUCUACAUUUAAGGUGGAAUACUACUUUACACCAAGAUUUUUUUGGUCUACAUUGAAGGAUUUUAGGUGGAAUAUUCCUUUGAACAAACUUUUUAAGUUUAUGUUCAAGGAUGCUGGGUGGAAUAUACCAUCAGACCAACCUCCAAGGUCUACAGUAGUGAAUUUUAGGUGGAAUAAACCAUUAAACUCACCUUUUAGGUAUACAUUGGAGGAUUUAAGGUGGAAUUUUCUUCUAGACCAUCUUUUAGUCUGCAUUUAAGGAUGUUUAGGAUGGUAUAUUCUACUAAACCAACUUCUCAGGUCUACAUUUCAGGUGGAAUAUUCCUCCAUACUAACUUUUUUGGUCAACAUUGAAGGAUUUUUUCUAAACCACCCUUUCGGGUCUAUAUUUGAGGUUUUAGGUGGAAUAUUCCUUUUAACCAGCCCCUCAGGUCUCUUUGAGGAUUUUGGAUGGAAUACUCGGUUAAACCGACAUUUUAGGUGCAUGUCCAAGGAUUUUUGGUGGAAUGUUCCUUUAAGGUGGAUGUUUGAGGACCUUGUAGGUGGAAUACUUCCUGACACCAACCUUUUAGGUCAACAUUCAAAGAUUUAAGGUGGAAUAUUCCUUUAAACCAACCUAAAUUUCACCUCAAACCUCAAUCCAGACUCCUCAUAAUGACAUUUGAGAUUGAUGCUGCUGUUAUUUGUUUAGUCCAGACUAAAUGACAGAAAUCCACAACUGUAAUUUUAUUUCAGGACUCGGUUAUUAAAUGUCAAAACAAUCCAUGUGACUCUAAAAACUCAACAGCUUUACAAACUCUAAGAUUAAACUCUCCACAAGGAUCCAAAAUAAGUUGGACUUCUACAUGAGAGCUUUAAUUAUUCUUCAUCUACUUCUUGAAAAGUUUGGU
ensembl:lncRNA